rnacentral:rRNA from 1 species
GCCGGUCACGAAAAGCAUGCAUGUCUAAGUUUAAACAACUUUAUACUGUGAAACUGCGUACGCUCAUAUAUCAGUAAUAAUUUAUUUCGACAGUACCUUACUACAUCGGAUAACCGUAGUAAUUUCUAGAGCUAAUACAUUGCGUUAAAGUCCUGACUCUCGCGGGGAGGGAUGUAUUUAUUAGAUAAAAAACCAAUGCGGCCUCGGCCGGUUUUGUGGUGAAUCAUAGUAACUAAUCGAAUUGCACGGCUUUACGUCGGCAAUAGUUCAUUCAAAUUUCUGCCCUAUCAGCUUUCGACGGUAGUGUCGUGGACUACCGUGGCGUUAACGGGUAACGGGGAAUUAGGGUUCGAUUCCGGAGAGGGAGCCUGAGAAAUGGCUACCACAUCCAAGGAAGGCAGCAGGCGCGCAAAUUACCCAAUCUCGAUACGAGGAGGUAGUGACAAAAAAUAACAAUACCGGGCCUACAUAGGUCUGGUAAUUUGGAAUGAGUACAAUUU